rnacentral:rRNA from 1 species
GGUGAACGCUGGCGGUAGGCCUAACACAUGCAAGUCGAACGGCAGCACAGUAAGAGCUUGCUCUUACGGGUGGCGAGUGGCGGACGGGUGAGGAAUACAUCGGAAUCUACUUUUUCGUGGGGGAUAACGUAGGGAAACUUACGCUAAUACCGCAUACGACCUACGGGUGAAAGCAGGGGAGCUUCGGACCUUGCGCGAUUGAAUGAGCCGAUGUCGGAUUAGCUAGUUGGCGGGGUAAAGGCCCACCAAGGCGACGAUCCGUAGCUGGUCUGAGAGGAUGAUCAGCCACACUGGAACUGAGACACGGUCCAGACUCCUACGGGAGGCAGCAGUGGGGAAUAUUGGGCAAUGGGCGCAAGCCUGAUCCAGCCAUACCGCGUGGGUGAAGAAGGCCUUCGGGUUGUAAAGCCCUUUUGUUGGGAAAGAAAAGCAGCAGGUUAAUACCCCGCUGUUCUGACGGUACCCAAAGAAUAAGCACCGGCUAACUUCGUG